rnacentral:rRNA from 1 species
CCCAAGGUAAGGAAUAACGUCGAGAAAUCGGCGCUAAUACCUCAUAAUGCAGCGGAUCCGCAUGGAUAUGUUGUUAAGGUUUACCGCCUUGGGAUAGGCUUGCGUCUGAUUAGCUAGUUGGUGUGGUAAUGGCACACCAAGGCUACGAUCAGUAACUGGUCUGAGAGGAUGAUCAGUCACACUGGAACUGAGACACGGUCCAGACUCCUACGGGAGGCAGCAGUGAGGAAUAUUGGGCAAUGCACGAAAGUGUGACCCAGCAACGCCGCGUGGAGGAUGAAGGUAUUCUAUAUCGUAAACUCCUGUGAGAGCAGACGAAAGACAGAUUAUUAAUUUGGAUGACUGUAUGCUCAGAGGAAGCCCCGGCUAACUACGUG